CAGCUAGUUGGCGGGGUAACGGCCCACCAAGGCUAUGACGGGUAGCUGGUCUGAGAGGACGACCAGUCACACGGGGACUGAGACACGGCCCCGACUCCUACGGGAGGCAGCAGUGGGGAAUUUUCCGCAAUGGGCGAAAGCCUGACGGAGUGACGCCGCGUGUGGGACGAAGGCCUUCGGGUCGUAAACCACUGUCAGUGGGAAAGAAGGGUGUCGGCGCAAAUACCGCCGGCAUUUGACGGUACCUGCAGAGGAAGCCCCGGCCAACUCUGUGCCAGCAGCCGCGGUAAGACAGAGGGGGCAAGCGUUGCUCGGAAUUACUGGGCGUAAAGGGCGCGUAGGCGGGAUGGCAAGUCGGUCGUGAAAUCCUUCGGCUCAACCGAAGAACGUCGAUCGAUACUGCUGUUCUUGAGGAUUGCAGAGGAGACUGGAAUUCCCGGUGUAGCGGUGAAAUGUGUAGAGAUCGGGAGGAACACCGGUGGCGAAGG
rnacentral:rRNA from 1 species